rnacentral:sRNA from 1 species
AUCAAUGGUACGGUACUUCCAUUGUCAUGUGUAUGUUGGGGAUUAAACCCUGAUUGAGUUCAGCCCACAUACUUUGUUGAUUGGUUGUCAAUCAUGGCAAAAGUGCACGCUACUUUGAUAACCUUUUACAUGCGACACAGACGAAGCGCUAAAACGUGGGAUUCUGUGUCGUUUU